rnacentral:rRNA from 1 species
UACAGAGGUCCCAAGCGUUGUUCGGAUUCACUGGGCGUAAAGGGUGCGUAGGCGGGUCUUUAAGUCAGGGGUGAAAUCCUGGAGCUCAACUCCAGAACUGCCUUUGAUACUGAAGAUCUUGAGUUCGGGAGAGGUGAGUGGAACUGCGAGUGUAGAGGUGAAAUUCGUAGAUAUUCGCAAGAACACCAGUGGCGAAGGCGGCUCACUGGCCCGAUACUGACGCUGAGGGACGAAAGCGUGGGGAGCAAACAGG